UGUAAUCGUAACUCAAGUUUAUUAGUUACUAGAUACAGAAGCUCUUACUAGCAUUUUUCUUGUACUGGUAUAUUACCAUCACAGUACUGCCAUAUUUUUGUCGGCAUCACUGGGCACAGUUGGGAAGAGGUACACAGAUACAGGAGGCUCCUCACCAUCCCAAUAUCUAUUCAACCCUAUAUACAUAAUGUUUAUAUUUUUAAAAAUUUAGAAUAAUAUUUUUGUAUUUACUUCUUCCAGUAGAUCGUUGAAUGUUACAACUGCUACCAGUACUAGGAUCUGAAUGAGGACCAUGUUGGGGUCUUUUGCUGGAACCACUUAUACUUGAUGAUGGUGGCUGAUAUAUGGUAGUCGGCAGGGCUGUCUGGUCCCAGUGGUGGCGGUUCUUGGGCUGGUUUUCUGUGUAGUAGUGAGGGCUAUUCCCUUGCCACUAUCACUUAUUACCUGCCUGACAGCAUCAUUGACCGUGUUUCUUAGGCUGUUGGCAGAUUUUUCAGAAUAUACAAUAUAAUAAUGUAAAAUUAUUACUUCAAGUCAAUUAUACCAUUUCUCUCCUUGCUAUGCUUUCUAGGUGUGCUUGUAGGUUAACUCUCUCACCUUUGCUAAUUUUAA